GACGAACCUUGCUAACGUUAUUCGGAAUUACUGGGCUUAAAGAGUUCGUAGGCGGCAUGAAAAGUAGGGUGUGAAAGCCCUCGGCUCAACCGAGGAAUUGCGCUCUAAACUGUCGUGCUAGAGGAACCUAGAGGUGAGCAGAACUGAUGGUGGAGCGGUGAAAUGCGUUGAUAUCAUCAGGAAUACCGGAGGCGAAGGCGGCUCACUGGGGGUUUUCUGACGCUGAGGAACGAAAGCCAGGGGAGCGAACGGG
rnacentral:rRNA from 1 species